GCUAAGGGCUUUGGUACUUGGGGACCAUGCCUAGGGGGUGAGCCAGGGUCCCCAGAUCCUGGGGACCUAGUUCUAGGUUUGCCACCUUCACCUGCAUCAGGAAGGGACAGAGAAGCCUCCGGAAGACCCUUCCAGGACCCCUCCCCGAUUCCCUUCCUUCUCCAUCCAUUUUCCUUUCCCAUUUGUCUUUGUUCCUUUUACUUUCUCCCAGGUGGUCAGUGGUUUGGACAUUCACAAAGCAGUGUACCUCACUUCACAGUUUCUCCACAUCAAGGACUUGCAGUUUGUUCCAAAUCUGAUCUUUCCUGGGGACUCUGGGACCUGGAACUAGGCUGGAACAGACACACCAGGCCUCUACGCGUGUUUUUCAAGAUCAUGUAAGAGAUCCCAGACGUUUCCCCUUGCUGCUACUUUGGGCGAGGGAGAGGAAAUGUGGGAGGAAGUGUAGGGACCGCGUAUCUUUUGGGCAUGCAUGUUUGCCUGAGCCUGAACUCUGCUAAGAUGGAGUUUCAAAAAGAGAAUCGUGUUGAAGUAGUUGUGUCUCCUUUGCGUUUGGGUGAGUCAAAGAGAAAAGAAAGCU
rnacentral:lncRNA from 1 species